AUUGAACGCUGGCGGCAGGCUUAACACAUGCAAGUCGAGCGGGGAAGCGUAGCUUGCUACUUGACCUAGCGGCGGACGGGUGAGUAAUGCUUAGGAAUCUGCCUAUUAGUGGGGGACAACAUCUCGAAAGGGAUGCUAAUACCGCAUACGUCCUACGGGAGAAAGCAGGGGACCUUCGGGCCUUGCGCUAAUAGAUGAGCCUAAGUCGGAUUAGCUAGUUGGUGGGGUAAAGGCCUACCAAGGCGACGAUCUGUAGCGGGUCUGAGAGGAUGAUCCGCCACACUGGGACUGAGACACGGCCCAGACUCCUACGGGAGGCAGCAGUGGGGAAUAUUGGACAAUGGGGGGAACCCUGAUCCAGCCAUGCCGCGUGUGUGAAGAAGGCCUUUUGGUUGUAAAGCACUUUAAGCGAGGAGGAGGCUACCGAGAUUAAUACUCUUGGAUAGUGGACGUUACUCGCAGAAUAAGCACCGGCUAACUCUGUG
rnacentral:rRNA from 1 species